UAGCUCAGUUGGUGAAGAAUCUGCCUGCAAUGCAGGAGACCCAGGUUUGAUUCCUGG
rfam:TPA: Bos taurus chromosome 6, whole genome shotgun sequence.